UGAGCCCCACAUCAAGUCCCCAUGCCUGGGGACCUGGCACUGGGAGAAAGACCCCCCAGAGCAUCUGGCAUUGAAGGCAGAAAGAAAAAACCCUCUCUCUCUCUCACACACACGCACACACAUCACAUAAUCUCUUGAGGAGCAGGAAUAUAUGUGGACAUCAAUUGAAAUAUUAAACUAAACAUGUUCCAGGACUUGAUAGAGCAAUAAAGUUCAGUCUCUUUACUUAGGACAACAUCUGGCAUGAUGUAGUUGCUCAAACAAGUAUGUUGACACCCUUGGGGACAGGAACCAGAUGAAAUGUUUUUCAUCCCGGUCGUCAUUUGCUGGGUGCUCUGGAGAUCAUCAGUGUCCUCUGCAGGUAGUCCCCAGCCAGGACGUGGCGUGGUGAAGGGCUGCAGGAGUGGACCCCCAGGCCCCCGAGCCAUCUGCCUGUCCCGGCACGGGCUGUGGGCCUGGUGGGUCCAGCAGCAUCACAGAGAGUCCUGCUCUGGCCUGCAGAGUAUAAUCCUGUUUAAAGAACCACCACAGGAAGCCCAAUUCUGACUUAACCAGAAAACUGAACACAGAGAGCAGACCACAGUCCUACGGCUCUUAGGAAGAGACGUAUGCUGUCCAAGAUUAAGGUAUUUGCUCUUGGACCCCUAUGGGUUAUUUAUGGCUCCUGGAACAAACUGUCACACACUUAGUGAGUUAAGUUAACACACAUGGAUUGUCUUCAUUUCUGGAGGUCAGAAGUCCAGAAUGGAUCUCAUGGGGUUAAGAUCAAGGGUGGGUAGGGCUGUGUUCCUGGUGGAGGCUGGAGAGAAGAAGUGUCUGUGUUCUUGCCUUUUCCAGCUUCUAGAAGCUGUCCAUGCUUAUUGGCUUGUGACCUCUUCCUCCCGUCUUUAAACUCACCCGUGGCCAGCAGGGUCUUCAUCGCAUCUCAUCACUCUGCUACUGACUCUUCUGCCUCCCUCUUCUAUAUCUAAGGGCCAUUAGGACCACGUGGGGCCUCCUUGGGUAAUUCAGGAAAAUCUCCCCAUCUCAAGGCCGGCUCAUUAGCAACCUUAACUUCCCUCUGCCAUGUAACGGAACAUGGAAGAGAUUCACAGGUUUCAGGGAUUGGAGUUGUACAUAUUUGAGCAGGAAGUGGGGGAGAUUAUGUGCUCUGACACAUCCUGUGAAAUAAGCUUCCCACUGCUCCAGAGCUGCACUGUCCAAUAUGGGAGCCACCAGCAGCAGUGACCACUGAAUCCUAGAAAUGGGACUAGUCCAUACUGACAUGUCCUGUUAAUACAAAAUACACCCUGGAUUUUGGAGACUUCGGGUUACAUAAUGUGGAGUUCCCAUUGUGGAGCAGCAGAAAUGAACCUCACUAGUAUCCAUGAGGAUGUGGGUUUGAGCCUGCAUUGCUGUGGCGUAGGCUGGCAGCUAUAGCUCUGAUUUGACCUCUAGCUUGGGAACUUCCAUAGGCCUCGGGUGAGUCCCUAAAAAUCAAAAGACAUAAGGAAUGUGUGUAUCUUAAUGAUUUUUGAAAAUCUGGUUACAAAUUUACUGGAAAUGA
rnacentral:lncRNA from 1 species